rnacentral:rRNA from 1 species
CACGUAGGGCGCAAGCGUUGUCCGGAAUUAUUGGGCGUAAAGAGCUCGUAGGCGGUCCGUCACGUCCGCUGUGAAAACCCAGGGCUCAACCCUGGGCUUGCAGUGGAUACGGGUAGACUAGAGGUAGGUAGGGGAGAAUGGAAUUCCCGGUGUAGCGGUGAAAUGCGCAGAUAUCAGGAGGAACACCAAUGGCGAAGGCAGCUCGCUGGGACGGUACUGACGCUGAGACGCGAAAGCGUGGGGAGCAAACAGG